rnacentral:tRNA from 1 species
GGUCGAUUGGUGUAGUUGGUUAUCACGUCAGUCUAACAUCCCACGAUGCGAACACUGAAGGUCGGCGGAUCGAGCCCGCCAUCGAUCA